rnacentral:rRNA from 1 species
GACGUAGGGCGCGAGCGUUGUCCGGAUUUAUUGGGCGUAAAGAGCUCGCAGGCGGUCUGUCGCGUCGGAUGUGAAAAUCAGGGCUCAACCCUGGACCUGCAUUCGAUACGGGCAGACUAGAGUUCGGUAGGGGAGACUGGAAUUCCUGGUGUAGCGGUGAAAUGCGCAGAUAUCAGGAGGAACACCGGUGGCGAAGGCGGGUCUCUGGGCCGAAACUGACGCUGAGGAGCGAAAGCGUGGGGAGCAAACAGG